CCUACGGGGAAGGAUGAGAAGCUUCGACUAAGGUUCGACUCGAGCGUAGCGAGAGAACGUUGCCGCAGGCAACGGCCCGAAGGGCGAGGCGCUUUAGCGCCGAGUUAUCCUUCCCCCACCGC
rnacentral:sRNA from 1 species